UACGGAGGGUGCGAGCGUUGUCCGAAGUUACUGGGCGUAAAGCGCGCGUAGGCGGGUUGGUAAGUCCGCUGUGAAAGCCCGGAGCUUAACUCCGGAGGGUCGGUGGAUACUGCCAGUCUUGAAGGUGCUAGGGGGAGAUGGAAUUACCGGUGUAGCGGUGAAAUGCGUAGAUAUCGGUAGGAACACCAGUGGCGAAGGCGGUCUCCUGGGGCAUUCUUGACGCUGAGGCGCGAAAGCUGGGGGAGCAAACGGG
rnacentral:rRNA from 1 species